GUGCUCACUUUGGCAGCACAUAUGCUAAAAUCGGAACGAUACAGCGGAGAUUACCAUGGCUCCUGCGCAAGGAUGACACACAAGUUUGUGAAGUGUUCAGUUUUUUU